AUCCAACUGACGAGUCCCAAACAGGAUGAAAUGCACAUCCUGGAU
rnacentral:hammerhead_ribozyme from 1 species